CAGUCGCCACGGUAAUACAGAGGUCCCGAGCGUUGUUCGGAUUCACUGGGCGUAAAGGGUGUGUAGGAGGUUGGAUAAGUCAGGUGUGAAAUCCCGCAGCUCAACUGCGGAACUGCACUCGAUACUGUUCAACUAGAGGAUCGGAGGGGGAAGCGGAAUUCUUGGUGUAGCGGUGAAAUGCGUAGAUAUCAAGAGGAACACCAGUGGCGAAGGCGGCUUACUGGCUCAUACUGGACGCUGAGGUGCGAAAGCGUGGGGAGCAAACAGGAUUAGAUACCCCCGUAGUCCCUGUCUCUUAUAC
rnacentral:rRNA from 1 species